rnacentral:rRNA from 1 species
AUUGAACGCUGGCGGCAGGCCUAACACAUGCAAGUCGAGCGAGCGGCGGACGGGUGAGUAAUGUAUGGGGACUGCCCGAUAGAGGGGGAUAACUACUGGAAACGGUAGCUAAUACCGCAUAUUAUCGGCUCACCCAUUUGGGAUUAGCUAGUAGGUAAGGUAAUUGCUCACAUAGGCGACGAUCCCUAGCUGGUCUGGGAGUCUGAUCAGCCACACUGGGACGGAGACACGGCCCAGACUCCUACGGAGGCAGCAGUGGGGAAUAUUGCACAAUGGGCGCAAGCCUGAUGCAGCCAUGCCGCGUGUAUGAAGAAGGCCCUAGGGUUGUAAAGUACUUUCAUUCGGGAGGCGUUACCGACAGAAGAAGCACCGGCUAACUCCGUGCCAGCAGCCGCGGUAAUUC